rnacentral:lncRNA from 1 species
UGGUAGGUCCUCGGCGUCCGGGAGGAGCGGACCGGCCCUCCCGGGGACCGGGCAAGAGGGUGGGCCGGAAGCGGCAUCAGGCCCCGUGCCCAUUGGCCAGCCUCGCCAGGACGCUGCGACCUGGGACGUGCGAUUGGCUGCGGUGCGCCGCGUCGGUGCUGGCUUCGAGGUCGCGCGCCCGCCCACUUCCGGGGUCGCGCCAGGUCAGGAGUCCAGAGUCGGCUGAAGCGAGUUGCCGCGUUCUCUCUGGCGGCGCGACACCGGCCCGUGGACCGCCCGGCCGCCCUCCAGGACCCGGUCUGCAGGAGCGGAGAGGGCGGUGUGGACACCGCCUGCAGGCGAGGAGAAGGGGUGGCGGAGAGGGUACCUGGGUGCGUGGCUGUGCGGCGUCAGGAGGAGCAGGGUGUGGGCGCCCGGCCUGGGGCGUGGAGAGGACGCAGGGAACAGGUGUCUUCCUGGUAUCCAUCGAACUGAAACGUAGCCCUUGAGCACACACUACACUUAAAGCUUUACUCUUUCGAGGAGGAGUCCUGGAAGCAUAUGUGAUUUUGUGACUAUAGCAUGGUGUGGUGUCAGUAACAGGCCCUGGAUUGCUCAAACUCUAUUGUCAGUGACAAAACCCAGUGUAAGCUGGCCUAAUAUAUUAAUAGUAAUAUGCGAGUCCUCCCGGGGUGGCGGGCACUGACGUAAGUGCUUUACUUGGGUCUUCUCAUUUCAUCCUCCCAGCAACCCAAAGAGCUGGCGGCGUCAUUCCCAUUUUACAAAUGCGAACACGGGCUCAGAGAUGGAGCGACUCACGUUGUAAGCGAUGGAACUGGGAUUUGAAAACACUGUAUCCCGCCUGGCAGAAAACUGGCAAGGUUAGGAUGGAGAAAGGAGAAAAAAGAAAGAUGUCGGCCAGGUGCGGCGGUUCAUACCUGUAAUCCCAGCACUUUGGGAGGCCAAGGCGGGCGGAUCACUUGAGGUCAGGGGUUUGAGACCAGCCUGGCCAAGAUGGUGAAACCCCGUCUCUAGUAAAAAUGCAAAAUUAGCCAGGGGUGGUGGCGCAUGCCUGUAAUCUCAGCUACUCGGGAGACUGAGGCAGGAAAAUCGCUUGAACUGGGGAGGUGGAGGUUGCAGUGAGCUGAGAUCGUGCCACUGUGCCACCGCACUACAGCCUGGGCGACAAGAGCAAAACUCCUUCUCAAAAAAGAAAAAAAAGGGCAUCUGAUGGAAGGCUAGAUACUACCCGACAUUGAGCUAAACCAAUGUCACCUGGUUGGACCUAGGGACCUAUUCCUGCUCCCCCUCUAGUUCUGUCUCAUUUCUGGGGUUGCACACAGGCUUUUCCUGGGCCUUCAUGUUUGGGGAAGCCCCACACAGGCCAGCUCCAGUGGAAGAAAACGCCCCCAGAAGCCUCUUGUUCACCCCGGAUGGCUCUGUGGAGUCCUGUGUCUGACCCUGACUUUAGCUUGGGCCUGAGGGACUGGCAUUUGUGGACUUGGUCUGGAGAUGUGGGCAGAGCCCCCCUCAAGCAUAAGGGCUCAGCCAGGCACAGGGGGUGGCUCCUCAGAGGAAGAUCAGGGUGCUAUUAGCAGAAGGACGAUGAGUGGGCCGGGCGCAGUGGUUCACGCCUGUAAUCCCAGCCCUUUGGGAGGCCGAGGCGGGUGGAUCAUGAGGUCAGGAGAUGAGACCAUCCUGGCUAACAUGGUGAAACACCGUCUCUACUAAAAACACAAAAAAUUAGCCGGGCGUGGUGGCGGGCGCCUGUAGUCCCAGCUACUCGGGAGGCUGAGGCAGGAUAAUGAGGUGAACCCAGGAGGCGGAGCUUGCAGUGAGCUGAGAUUGUGCCACUACACUCCAGCCUGGGCAACAGAGCAAAACUCUGUCUCAAAAAAAAAAAAAAAAAAAAAAAAGGAGGAUGAGUGGUCGCUAGACUGCUGGAGAAACAGUCUAGAGGUAGGGAGCCCUGGGUUCUGUCCUGCCUGUGACACUCUGUAGCCAUUUAUCUCCUCUUUAGCUUUAGUUUCCACAUUAAAAGAGGCAUUGAAAAAAAAUGAAAAAGAGGCAUUGAAUUAGGAGCUUUCUGUGGCCCCUUGCAGUUUUCAUGUGUGGUGACAAAGUUCAAUAUAGUUUUCCUGAAUUCAGGGGCUUGGGGACCCAUGUCCCCCUAUCCCGAGUUCUUUUUUUUUUUUUUUUUUUUUGAGAGGGAGUCUCACUCUGUCACCCAGGCUGCAGUGCAGUGGUGAGAUCUCAGCUCACUGCAACCUCCACCUCCCAGGUUCAAGCGAUUCUCCUUUCUCAGCCUCCUGAGUAGCUGGGACUACAGGUGUGUGCCACCACGCCAGGCUAAUUUUUUUAUUUUUAGUAGAGACAGGAUCUCACCAUGUUGGCCAGGCUGGUCUUGAACUCCUGACCUCAGGUAAUCCACCCAUCUCAGCCUCCCAAAGUGCUGGGAUUAUAGGCGUGAGCCAGCAUGCCCGGCCAAAAGUUUGCUUUCUUUUGAGUCUGUGAUCAGCCUUUCACUGAAUACACAAUUUACAUGUGAGAGUGGGUAGAGGAAUAGUCACAUAUGCCUUACUCACUGUCUGGCUCAGUGAAUCUGCAUUUUGUAUAAACAAUAGGACAGAGGAAGAAAUCACAUAUGCAUUUGUCUUCAGUGAGCGGAGGGCUGACUUUCUGCAUUGUACCUGUGAAGAUAAGCUAUCAAUUUACAUUGCCAGGGAAAAUUCAUCAGAACUGUUUUAGGGCAAAGAUCUUGAGGCCCGAAAGGAAUUUGCUUGUGGAGAAAUUGUGAGGGGGGUAUGUAGCUCUUUUGAACUUUCUAGCUAUCUUAUUGAAGAAUAAAACGGGAGGCAGGUUUGUCUGAUGCGACCCUCAGCUUGACUUUUCUCUUUGGCGUAGUGAUCUUGGGGUCCCGAGAUUUAUUUUCCUUUCACAGUAGGAUACAUUGAUCAGGUCAGUGCCACAGUACAAGGGUCAGAAGUGUUUGAACCCGAGCGACUCCAUCUUGAACAGGGGCUGGGUAAAAUGAGGCUGAGAACUGCUGGGCUCCAUCCCCAGGAGGUUGGGCAUUCUUGGUCACAGGAUGAAAUAGGAGGUCAGCAGGUUUGGUAUCACAAGAUACAGGUCACAAAGCCCCUGCUGAUAGAAGAGGAUGCGGUAAAGAAGCCAGCCAAAACCACGAUGGUGAUGAAAGUGACUUCUGGUUGUCCUCACCGCUCAUUAUACUCUAAUUAUAAUACAUUAGCAUGCUAAAAGACACUCCUACCGGUGCUGUGACAGUUUAUAGAUGCCAUGGCAACGUCAGGAAGUUACCCUAUAUGGUCUGAAAAGGAGGGGAAACCUUAGUUCCAGGAAUUGCCCUCUGCUUUCCUGGAAAACUCAUGAAUAAUCCACCCCUUGUUUACCAUAGAACCAAGAAAUAACUAUAAGUAUACUCAGUCCAGCAGCUCAUGCUGCUGCUCUGGCUGUGGAGUAGUCAUUCUUUUAUUCCUUUACUUUCUUUUAUUUUUUAUUUAUUAUUAUUAUUAUUAUCUUAUUUGAGAUGGAGUCUCUGUCGCCCAGGCUGGAGUGCAGUGGCGCGGUCUUGGCUCACUGCAACCUCCGCCUCCUGGGUUCAAGUGAUUCUCCUGCCUCAGCCUCCUGAGUAGCUGGGAUUACAGGCGCAUGCCAGCAUGCCCGGCUGAUUUUUAUAUUUUUAAUAGAGAUGGGGUUUCACCAUGUUGGCCAGGCUGGCCUCGAACUCCUGACCUCAGGUGAUCCGCUCACCUCGGCCUCCCAAAGUGCUGGGAUUACAGGCGUGAGCCACCACGCCUGGCCUGGAGUAGUCUUUUAUUCCUUUACUUUAUUAUCAUUAUUAUUUUUGAGAUAGAAUCUUGCUCUGUUGCCCAGACUGGAGUGCAGUGGCACUAUCUCAGCUCACUGCAACCUCUACCUCCCGGAUUCAAGCAAUUCUCCUGCCUCAACCUCCUGAGUAGCUGGGAUUACAGGUGCACGCCACCACACCCAGCUAAUUUUUGUAUUUUUAGUAGAGACGUGGUUUCACCAUGUUGGCCAGGAUGUUCUUGAACUCUUGACCUCAAGUGAUCCGCCCACCUUGGCUUCCCAAAGUGCUGGGAUUACAGGUGUAAACCACUGCACCCAGCCUGUUCAUUUACUUUCUUAAUAAGCUUGCUUUCACUUUAUGGACUUGCCCCAAACUCUUUAUUAUGUGAGGUCCAAGAACCCUCUCUUGGGGUCUGGAUCGAGGCCCCUUUGCAGUAUAACAAGGAUCAGGAGUAGACAAAGAAAAGUCCAGGUCCCUGGCUCAACAGAAUCUACUCUCCAGCAAACAAGAUAAAACUUGCUAUCUCCCUUUAAUUGAAGUCCCUAAUGUUUAAUGGAAGUCCCAGUAGGCAUCCAUAUGGUCUCUGUAUUUACCAGCGGCUGGAAGCUCGCUUUGUACGUUACUCUGCACAACACCACAUGACUGCUCCUGACAGUAAUUUGAGGAGCUUCUGGUGAUGGUAAACUUGCACAGUAUGUUCAAAACCAACCUACAAUCUGUGUUACGCCUGUAUGUUUCACAAGGAACAUGUCUGUAUAUUUCGACUCCAGAAAUAUAAUUUGUCAAACCAAUUAUCGUACCUAAAAUGUCUUGUGCUGUGUUUUAUAAUAAUUUACGCAAAUGAGUUUCAUUUCAUGUAAUUAACCUAUUCCAGUGUGAUGUUUCUCACCCCAACUUUGCCAGCUCUCUUUCCAGCACAGAAACAGAUUCCGCUAACCAUCGCCAAAGGCAGGACCUGUGAACAGCUGAAGCAUCUCCUGGUCUCUGCUCUGCUGAGCCUUCCAUAGCAAAUCCCAGGCAGACAGGGUCCUGAGGAUUGAUGGCACCUGAGCAGCAGUUGUGACCUUCCGCAACAUUCUCUUAUGCCUCUAUAAAAGCCAGUAAUCUCCCGGCAUGAUGGCUCAUGCCUAUAACGUCAGAGUUUUGGAAAGCGGAGGUGGGAGGAUCACUUCAGGUCAGGAGUUUGAGACCAGCCUGGGCAUCAAAGUGAGCCUCUAUCCCUACAAAACAUUUUUUUAAUUAGCCAGAUGUGGUAGUGCGUGUCUGUAGUCCCAGUUACUAGGGAGGCUGAGGCAAGAGGAUCGCUUAAGCCUAGGAGGUCGAAGCUGCAGCGACCUGUGAUUGCACCACUGCACUGCAGCCUAGGUGAUGGAGCAAGACCCUGUCUCAAAAGAAAAAAGAAGGGCCGGGCAUGGUGGCUCACUCCUGUAAUCCCAGCAGUUUGGGAGGCCGAGGCAGGCAGAUCACGAGGUCAGGAGAUUGAGACCAUCCUGGCCAACACGGUGAAACCCUGUCUCUACUAAAAAUAAAAAAAAUCAGCUGGGCGUGGUGGCACGCGCCUGUAGUCCCAGCUACUCGGUAGGGCGAGACAGGAGAAUCGCUUGAACCCGGGAAGCGGAGGUUGCAGUGAGCCGAUAUCGCGCCACUGCACUCCAGCCUGGGUGACAAGGCAAGACUCUGUCUCAAAAAAAAAAAAAAAAAGAAAGAAAAAAGAAGAAAGAAGAAAAAGAAACAAAUGGUCAAUAAACUUAUGAAGAAGUGCUCAACUACAGCGAUAAGCAGGAAAAUGCAAAUUAAACCCACAAUGAGUUGCCUGCCAGACAGGCUAAGGGAGUAGAAGUACGAGCUGGUGCCAUCACUGGGGAAAUCAGUGACAUGACCUCAUAGAGCUGAAGCUAAGAUUGUGCUGUGGCCCAGCAGUGAUUUAGGUGCUGUACGUACACACCUUACCAGCAUUCUCUAUGUAACAACAGCCCCAGGUGUCCAUCUGUAGUGGAAUGCAUGAUCAGUGUGAUGGAGUCACAUUAGGUUGCUGCAAAAGGACUUGUGGUUUUGGCCAUUAAAAGUAAUGACAGGGUGGGUGCGAUGGCUCACACCAGUUAUCCCAACGCUUUGGGAGGCCGAGGUGGGCAGAUCACUUGAGGUCAGGAGUUUGAGACCAGCCUGGCCAAAAUGGCAAAACUCUCUGCUCAAAAUACAAAAAUUAGCUGGGCAUGGUGGCACACACCUGUAAUCCCAUCUACUCAGGAGGCUGAGGCAGGAAAAUUGCUUGAACCCAGGAGGUGGAGGUUGCAGUGAGAUGAGAUCAUGCAACUACACUCCAGCCUGGGCAACAGAGUGAGACUCCGUCUCAAAAAAAAAGAAAAAAGAAAAAAAGAAAAAAGGCCAGGCAUAGUAGCUCACGC